AUUGAACGCUGGCGGCAUGCCUUACACAUGCAAGUCGAACGGUAACAGGUCUUCGGAUGCUGACGAGUGGCGAACGGGUGAGUAAUACAUCGGAACGUGCCUAGUAGUGGGGGAUAACUACUCGAAAGAGUGGCUAAUACCGCAUGAGAUCUACGGAUGAAAGCAGGGGAUCGUAAGACCUUGUGCUACUCGAGCGGCCGAUGGCAGAUUAGGUAGUUGGUGGGAUAAAAGCUUACCAAGCCGACGAUCUGUAGCUGGUCUGAGAGGACGAUCAGCCACACUGGGGAGGAGACACGGCGCAGACUCCUACGGGAGGCAGCAUUGGGGAAUGUUGGACAAUGGGCGCAAGCCUGAUCCAGCAAUGCCGCGUGCAGGAUGAAGGCCUUCGGGUUGUAAACUGCUUUUGUACGGAACGAAAAGCCCUGGGUUAAUACCCUGGGGUCAUGACGGUACCGUAAGAAUAAGCACCGGCUAACUACGUGCCAGCCGCCGCAGUAAAAC
rnacentral:rRNA from 1 species